UACGUAGGCAGCAAGCGUUGUUCGGAAUUAUUGGGCGUAAAGAGUGUGUAGGCGGUGCUCCAAGUCUGUUGUGAAAUCUCCCGGCUUAACUGGGAGGGUGCGGCGGAAACUGGAAUGCUAGAGGGUGGGAGAGGUAAGCGGAAUUCCUGGUGUAGCGGUGAAAUUCGUAGAUAUUCGGAAGAACACCAGUGGCGAAGGCGACUCACUGGCCCGAUACUGACGCUGAGGCGCGAAAGCGUGGGGAGCAAACAGG
rnacentral:rRNA from 1 species